rnacentral:misc_RNA from 1 species
AAGUCGUAACAAGGUUUCCGUAGGUGAACCUGCGGAAGGAUCAUUAACACUUUCAAAUCUUUCGAAAAAGGGUUGCAAAACUCUUUUUUAUUCUACCCAACUUAUUGAAGUGCUGGUGAGAAGAGUUUUUUUAAAAGCUCUUCUCCAAUUUUUUUUACUUUUUUUCAAUAACCCCAUUCACACAAACAAUUCGACUAAACAAAAACACUUUUUUUUAACAAAAAGAAAAAAAUAAGCCAAACAACUCUUAGCAACGGAUAUCUUGGCUCUC